rnacentral:rRNA from 1 species
UACGAAAGGGGCUAGCGUUGUUCGGAAUUACUGGGCGUAAAGCGCACGUAGGCGGCCUUGUAAGUUGGGGGUGAAAUCCCGGAGCUCAACUCCGGAACUGCCUUCAAAACUACAAAGCUAGAGGAUGUGAGAGGAUAGUGGAAUUCCGAGUGUAGAGGUGAAAUUCGUAGAUAUUCGGAAGAACACCGGUGGCGAAGGCGACUGUCUGGCACAUUUCUGACGCUGAGGUGCGAAAGCGUGGGGAGCAAACAGG